UUAUUUUGGGGUAUCAAGCAGACUCCAUUCGAAUGUCUCCUCUUUUUGAGUCUCUGGUCCCUGAAAAGGAGAGAUGCUGUUUCUCCGAAGCAAACCAGGAAUGGCUCCCAUGAUUAUGGAGGCCAAGAAGUUCCAGAAUGGGCUGUCUGCAAGCUGGAGACCCAGGAGCCAGAGCUGUGAUUCAGUCUGAAUCCAAAGGCCUCAGAAAAAAGAGUACUGGUGUCUGAGGGCAUGAGAAGAUGGAUACCCCAGCUCAAAAAGAGAGCCAAAUUCGCCCAUCCUCUGCCUUUCCGUUCUAUUCAGGCCCUCUGUGGACUGGAUGAUGCCCACCAGCACCGGUGAGGCCCUCCUUGCUCAGUGCACCAAUUCCAACACCGACCACUUUCAGAAACACCCUCUGAGACACAGCCCCGGCAUAAUAUGUUACCGGCUCUCUGGGCGUCCAGAGUCCAGUCACGUGGACGCAUGAAAUCAGCCCUCGCGGGUAUAGUCACACCAGCCGAUUCUUGAGUAGGUUUUGCCUGAGAAGAAACAUUUGAAACAAGAACAGGGUACCUCUGUUGUAGAGAUUGCAGGACGAGGAGAGAAGCCGGUGGCAAAGGGGCAGACGAAGGAUCUGAACACGCAGAGUCCGAGCUGGCCACUGUCACACCACAAGCCACAGAUGACCCUUUCCGCUUCCGAAUUCCCAGGCAGGGGCCAGCCUCAAGUAUAACUUCCCUCCUGUGUUUGCCUCACUGCCCCUCUACUCUGCUCCUAGAGCAGCUGCCACAGAUGUAAUCAGGUGCAGGGAGCAGCCGCUUCUGAUUCAGAACCCUUCUGACCCCAGCCUCCUCUUUUCUCCCUAUUGUCUUUCUCACAAGUUAAAAAAAAAAAAAAAGCUUUAUUCUGGAUAAAGUAUGUAAUCUGU